CCUACGGGAGGCAGCAGUGAGGAAUAUUGGUCAAUGGACGCAAGUCUGAACCAGCCAAGUAGCGUGCAGGAUGACGGCCCUCCGGGUUGUACACUGCUUUUAGUUGGGAAUAAAAGGGGGCUCGUGAGCCCCGUAUUGUAUGUACCAUCAGAAAAAGGACCGGCUAAUUCCGUGCCAGCAGCCGCGGUAAUACGGAAGUUCCGGGCGUUAUCCGGAUUUAUUGGGUUUAAAGGGAGCGUAGUCCGGCUUUUAAGUCAGCUGUGAAAGUCCGCGGCUCAACCGUGGAAUUGCAGUUGAAACUGGAGGCCGUGAGUGCACACAGUGAUGCCGGAAUUCAUGGUGUAGCGGUGAAAUGCUUAGAUAUCAUGAAGAACUCCGAUCGCGAAGGCAAGUGUCCGGGGUGCAACUGACGCUGAGGCUCGAAAGUGCGGGUAUCAAACAGGAUUAGAUACCCGUGUAGUC
rnacentral:rRNA from 1 species